AGAACGAACGCUGGCGGCAGGCUUAACACAUGCAAGUCGAACGGUUGUAGCAAUACAGCAGUGGCAGACGGGUGAGUAACACGUGGGAACCUUCCUAGGGGUACGGAACAACUCAGGGAAACUUGAGCUAAUACCGUAUACGUCCGUAAGGAGAAAGAUUCAUCGCCCCUAGACGGGCCCGCGUAGGAUUAGGUAGUUGGUGAGGUAACGGCUCACCAAGCCUACGAUCCUUAGCUGAUCUGAGAGGAUGAUCAGCCACACUGGGACUGAGACACGGCCCAGACUCCUACGGGAGGCAGCAGUGGGGAAUCUUGGACAAGUGGGCGCAAGCCUGAUCCAGCCAUGCCGCGUGAGUGAAGAAGGCCUUCGGGUUAGUAAAGUCUCUUUUACCAGGGACGAUAAUGAACGGUACCUGGAGAAGUAACGCCCCGACAAACCUUCGACCGAC
rnacentral:rRNA from 1 species